CCCCGAGCGCCGCAGACCCCGAGCGCAGCCGACCCCGAGCGCCGCCGCUGGGUAGGUAGGGAGUGGGAGAGUGGACGACCGCAGGCGAGAGGGAGAAGGAAGAGCGCCCGGGGAGCAGCCUGGCAGAGUGAUCGGGAUUGAUGAGCGGCGGCUGCUCUGGAGGGACGCAGUCGAGAGGGCCGGGUUGCCUCCCCACCCCUCCUGCCACCUUCCCAUCAGAACCCCAGCUGUGUUCAGUGCCCCUCUGUUAAAGCAGCCACCUGCUCUGGGAAGUCCGGCCCUCUGCAUCACACCUGGCAGUCCCAUUCCUCUCGCUUGUGUGUGGCUCAGGAAUAAGCAGGUGACCCAAUUCUGGUGAACGAGCCAUGAGAAGAAUCCGCUAGAGGUUUCCUUGCGUCUAAGAGAUGGUCCCUUUCACUCUUGGCCUUGGGUUUGGAUGUGACGCCUGAAUCCUCUACAGCCUGAUGACAAAGACCACACCAAGGAUGGAAGUGUGGAAGGAAGAAAAGAACCGGAGCCUUCCAGCCUUUGCCGUAUGGCUGACUUAACCAGCCUUGAAGGUCGCUUUUUCCCCAGGACUUCCUAUCAGGAUUUACCACCCACUGUGGCCCUCUUGCCUGUACCCACACAUACCUACGAAAGAAGACCAGUUUUCAGAUCCCAGAAGAACAUAAAAGAGGGCAUAUCUGUCUUAUAAUUAUGAUUGAACAAGCAUAUGUAGAGCACAGUUGUUUCACUUUUAGAAAUUAAUUAUAAUUGUUUGUACAAUAAAAUGAAUUCUGUCUUUUACCCAAUGUGACAGAACAGUAAUUGAUUUUUUUUUUUAACUCUGCCAUUCCACCUUCUUCUGUUAAU
rnacentral:lncRNA from 1 species